UACGAAGGGGGCUAGCGUUGUUCGGAAUUACUGGGCGUAAAGCGUGCGCAGGCGGCUUCUCAAGUCAGGGGUGAAAGCCCAGAGCUCAACUCUGGAAUUGCCUUUGAGACUGAGUGGCUUGAGUACGAGAGAGGUGAGUGGAAUUCCCAGUGUAGAGGUGAAAUUCGUAGAUAUUGGGAAGAACACCGGUGGCGAAGGCGGCUCACUGGCUCGUAACUGACGCUCAUGCACGACAGCCGUGGGGAUCAAACAGG
rnacentral:rRNA from 1 species